UCGAUAGUAUCGAUAUCAGAAUGGGAUUAUAAUGGCCCUCUUCCAAUCCGUGGGCA
rnacentral:lncRNA from 1 species